UCACCAUAUGUUGGUGGUAUGGCAUUUUCGCCUACUUCAUCUCCUGGUUACAGUCCAUCAUCACCAGGCUACAGUCCAUCAUCACCUGGAUACAGCCCCACUUCACCAGGGUACAGUCCCACAUCCCCUGGGUACAGCCCCACAUCACCUGGGUACAGUCCUACCUCUCCAACAUACAGCCCUAGCUCUCCAGGAUACAGUCCUACGAGCCCAGCUUAUUCACCUACAAGUCCAUCCUACUCUCCCACGUCACCCAGCUACAGUCCCACAUCACCCAGCUACAGCCCAACUUCUCCCAGCUACAGCCCUACAUCUCCCAGCUAUAGCCCCACUUCACCUGCAUACAGCCCAACAUCUCCAGCAUACAGCCCCACUUCACCUGCCUAUAGUCCCACUUCUCCAUCAUAUAGUCCAACAUCACCUUCCUACAGUCCAACUUCGCCUUCCUACAGCCCCACAUCACCCUCUUACAGCCCGACAUCUCCCUCAUAUAGCCCUACAUCACCUGCUUACAGCCCUACCUCUCCUGGGUACAGCCCCACAUCACCCUCUUACAGCCCAACAUCACCAUCAUAUAGUCCUACUUCCCCAAGUUACAAUCCGCAGUCUGCUAAGUAUAGCCCUUCAUUGGCAUAUUCUCCCAGCAGUCCGAGGUUGUCUCCAUCAAGUCCCUAUAGUCCCACGUCUCCAAGCUAC
rnacentral:lncRNA from 1 species